rnacentral:tRNA from 1 species
GGGCCCGUGGCUCAGCCAGGUAGAGCGGCUGGCUCUUAACCAGUAGGUCGGGGGUUCGAUUCCCCCCGGGCCCG